UGUUGUUGCUUUUUGGGAGUAAAAAACAGUUACCAACGUUUGUUUUCAUAACAACAUUAUUUACGUUGUGUCUUAUUUCUGUGUUUUGUUUGAUUUACGUGAAGAACAAUGCAUGCUCGUUUCGACGAUCAUAUACGUUCCAGUUCCAGUAAACAGAUAUACUUCUUAGAAUUGAGUUGGUUGAGAGUGAGGAUAUUUCCUGUGCGGAUGGCUCGAUUAUCGACGAUUCUGAUGAAGAUCCAUUGUGGGAACCUGUAGAAUCUAAUCAAUCCUCAUCGUCAACAUCUGAAUCCAACCCAGGACUUCCUAGAACGAAUAACGCACUGGAAGCGUUCUAUAGCCUACUACUACGAAGAGUGAGACCUUACCCAAGUGCGUGGUAGUUCAAUGUCUAUCCUGGAGGAAGAGGAGGACCCUGAGAACCUAUCUUAUGGAGCUCCUGCACAACCAUGCACUAAGGGCUCCACACGUCAGUCAGACGACGGAGACUGGCCUUACGACGUCAGAAUGCAGUCAUUCAUGAGGAUUCAGCAGAACUGACAUGUUGACAUGUGGAGCCUACAAUGUUGCUCAGUACCUUGACAAGCUCUCCGACCGCACAAGAGGUCUGGUGGAAAGGCAGAGUUGAGGAGCAAUGAAGGUGGCUAUUGGUUCCAGCACAACCAGUUACUCAGGGUCCAGCAGCCAACCAAGUACUACCUCUGGUACGAGUGCCUGUAGCUGCACAUGAGCCACCAACGCCUGCACCUGCUCCACCCGCUCUAAUUUUUCGUAAAUCAAUACCGAUACUGAAAGUAGGUAUGAAUGAGAGCUCACGUACUAAUAUCUACAUGAAAUUCAUAGACACCAAAUUGUAGAGGCAAACGUUUUAAAGAUAUGGGAUUUGGCAGUUGGCCAGUAAUUAACUUAGGUAGAUACCGAAUAAAAUGAAUACGUCAUCGCAUGAAUUUCAAAGAGAUAUUACUUCACGAGUAACCUAUAAUUAUCUUGAAUUUCUCAUAAUUAUUUUGUCUUGUUUUCUUUACGAUGUUAUAAUUAUAAAUCGCCUUCGGCUCGCUGGAGGCUACGCCCCCAGGCCCCUAAUUAGGAGGUUGACUAAAUGCGGGGAUAAGCGGAAUUUGGAGACAGGUUAUGUCCGAGCAUUAGAUUAGGGAUCUAAAAAGUGACUGGACCUUUUAUUGUCGGAAAUUUAAUUUAAUCUUUUAAUUCUGACCUCGGAUUUUUGCUUCCGAGUUUCAGUUUAGCCAAUACACAGUACGGAAGAAAAUUUUGCACUGGUCAGCUAUUGUGAAUUGUUUAGUGUAAAGAUAAUAAAAUCCGAUUCUAAGUUAGAAUUCUAAAAUGUUAAGGGAGUAUAAUUUGCUCAGGAGUUUAACUAUUCA